rfam:Clostridium beijerinckii NCIMB 8052, complete genome.
UUAAAGAUAGUGAUAAGGAAGAGUAUAUAAAUGGUAAACUUUUAAGAGAGCUAGAGGUCGGUGGAAUCUGGUAAGUAUCCUUUAUAGAAGCAGCCUUUGAAUUUUAUAGCUGAGAAAUAAAAAUUUUUAGAAAAUAAGAAUUUUUAAUUAGGCUAUAACGUGUUCCUCACGUUAUAGAGGUGGAGUAUAAUAUGUACUCUAGCUGAGUGAACAAUUUUUAAGUUGUUUAUUAGGGUGGUACCGCGAAGUAGUUCUUUCGUCCCUUGU